rnacentral:rRNA from 1 species
UACGUAGGUGACAAGCGUUGUCCGGAUUUACUGGGCGUAAAGAGCGCGCAGGCGGUCGAUCAAGUCGAGUGUGAAAGCCCCCGGCUCAACUGGGGAGGGUCACUCGAUACUGAUCGACUUGAAGGCAGGAGAGGGAAGCGGAAUUCCCGGUGUAGUGGUGAAAUGCGUAGAUAUCGGGAGGAACACCAGUGGCGAAGGCGGCUUUCUGGCCUGUUCUUGACGCUGAGGCGCGAAAGCUAGGGGAGCAACGGG